rnacentral:rRNA from 1 species
GGGGCAUUCUCGAGAUAGCCAUGUAUGUGCCAAGUUCAAACGUUAUACGUGAGACUGCGGACGGCUCAUAAAUCAGUGAUAAUCUAUUUGAUUUUCUCUCCCAUUGGAUAACCGUGGGAAAUCUAGAGCUAAUACGUGCGGUAUAUUGGUGUGCCUUCGGGUGCAUCAAAGCAUUUAUUAGACUAAACCAUCUACUGUGCCUCUCAGGCACAGUAAGGGGAAUCUGGAUAACUUUGCUGAUCGUAUGGCCUAGUGCCGGCGACGUUUCAAUUGAGUUUCUGCCCUAUCAACUUGUUGGUAAGGUAUUGGCUUACCAAGGUUGCAACGGGUAACGGGGAAUCAGGGUUCGAUUCCGGAGAGGGAGCCUGAGAAACGGCUACCACAUCCAAGGAAGGCAACAGGCGCGCAAAUUACCCAAUCUAGACAGUAGGAGGUGGUAAAGAGAAUUACUAAGUGGUGGUCCAAUGGAUUACCUGUUUGGAAUGAACGUAACUUAAGAAAUUCGAUGAUAAACAACUGGAGGGCAAGUCCUGGUGCCAGCAGCCGCGGUAAUUCCAGCUCCAGUAGUUUGCUUUAAAGUUGUUGCGUUUAAAACGCUCGUAGUUGGAUCACGCAGCAGUGUCGAGUAAUCUAUCGUUCGAAGACACCCGUUCGACUCGUCACGUACGAUCGACAGGAGAAUUUGGCGUUAGAUGUCAACGCCCGACGUUGCUAGUUGCACGCGAGAUAGGAUGUUGGCCUUAAAUGUGCCGAUAUUCUCGUCUUGCGGAGUGUGCCUUGAAUAAAACAGAGUGCUUAAAGCAGGUCGUUGCCUGAAUGUUAUAGCAUGGAACGAACAAUCGUGUAUAUGUGUGCGUCUUUGUACGGUGAUGAAUCUCUGGUUUAUUGUUGUCGAAGAUGCGCACGGCACCCACCAAAAUAUGGCUGUUGGUUCCAUAUACGGUGAUGAUUAAAGGAGCGGUUGGGGGCAUCAGUAUUGCGCAGAGUGAAAUUCUAGACCGGCCAACGCACUAACAAAUGCAAAGGCACUGUCUAGACCGUUUCCAUUAAUCAAGAACGAAAGUGGGAGGUUGGAAGACGAUCAGAUACCGUCAUAGUUCCCCACCGUAAACUAUGCCGACUUGGGAUCAGCUUGGAGAUGUUACAAGCUGCAAGUUGGUCCCCCUGGGAAACCUCAAGUUUUUCGGUUACGGGGAGAGUAUGGUCGCAAGGCUGAAACUUAAAGGAAUUGACGGAAGGGCACCACCAGGGGUGGAGCCUGCGGCUUAAUUUGACUCAACACGGGGAAACUUACCUGGUCCGGACAUCGAUAGGAUUAUCAGAUCAAUAGCUCUUAUAUGAUUCGAUGAGUGGUGGUGCAUGGCCGUUCUUAGUUCGUGGAGUGAUCUGUCAGCUUUAUUGCGGUAACGAACGAGACCACGUUCUCCAUUUGAGAGAUGAAAGAAGGCUGACGGUAGUAACGACUCUGUUGCUGCUGCUGUUGGCUGCAGGAAGAAUGCAACAUUUAUCUGUGGCUGGGUUGGGGUAACUUAGCCUAACUGCCGAUAGGUGGUUCAUUUCUCCCUUUCAUCGCGCUGCAGUUGGUUUCGGCCGAUUGUAGCCUCAUGGAGGGACAACGAGGUAUAAACAAGCUCGAGGAAGAGUGGCUAUAACAGGUCAGUGAUGCCCUUCGAUGUUCAGGGCUGCACGCGCGCUACAAUGAUAACGACAACGAGUGUCUGCGUCGAAAGACGUGGGUAAUCUUUAAUCGUUAUCGUGAUGGGGAUUGACCGUUGUAAUUAUCGGUCAUGAAAGAGGAAUCCCUAGUAUGCGCAUUUUAUUAGAAUGUGCAGAUUGAGUCCCUGCCCUUUGUACACACCGCCCGUCGCUACUACCGAGUGAAUGGUGUCAUGAUGCGCUGGGACUGGACGUCAGUUGGGUUUUCGGGCUCGGCAGACGCUGGGAUCAGCGUAAAAUGGCGCAAUUCGAGGAAGAAAGUUGCUUUGCCCCG